AUAAGAUUUUUAAUGUGCUGCUGCAUUCGGUUAGCCAGUAUUUUAUUGAGGAUUUUUGCAUCGAUGUGUUCAUCAGGGAUAUUGAACUGAAAUUUUCUUUUUUUGUUGUGUCUCUGCCAGGUUUUGGUAUCAGGAUGAUGCUGGCCUCAUAAAAUGAGUUAGGGAGGAGUCCCUCUUUUUCUAUUGUUUGGAAUAGUUUUAGAAGGAAUGGUAUCAGCUCCUCUUGUACCUCUGGUAGAAUUCGGCUGUGAAUCCAUCUGGUCCUUGGCUUUUUUGGGUUGGCAGGCUAUUAAUUACUGCCUCAAUUUCGGAACUUGUUAUUGGUCUAUUCAGGGAUUCAACUUCUUCCUGGACUAGACUUGGGAGGGUGUAUGUGUCCAAGAAUUUAUCCAUUUCUUCUAGAUUUUCUAGUUUAUUCGCAUGGAGGUGUUUAUAGUAUUCGCUGAUGGUAGUUUGUAUUUCUGUGGGAUCAGGGUAUUCCCUUCUUCAUUUUUUAUUGUGUCUAUUUGAUUCUUCUCUCUUUUCUUCUUUAUUAAUCUACUCUAUCUGUUUUGUUAAUGUUUUAAAAAAAACAGCUCCUUGAUUCACUGAUUUUUUGAAGGGUGUUUUGUGUCUCUAUUUCCUUCAGUUCUGCUCUGAUCUUAGUUACUUCUUGUCUUCUGCUAUCUUUUGAAUUUGUUUGCUCUAGCUUCUCUAGUUCUUUUGUGAUUUUAGGGUGUCUAUUUUAGAUCUUUCCUGCUGUCUCCUGUGGGCAUUAGUGCUAUAAAUUUCCCUCUAAACACUGCUUUAAAUGUGUCCCAGAGAUUCUGUAAAUUGUGUCUUUGUUCUCAUUGGUUUCAAAAACUUAUUUAUUUCUGCCUUAAUUUCAUUAUUUACCCAGUAGUCAUUCAGGAGCAGGUUGUUCAGUUUCCAUGUAGAUGUGCAGUUUUGAGUGAGUUUCUUAAUCCUGAGUUCUAAUUUGAUUGCACUGUGAUCUGAGAGACUGUUAUGAUUUCCAUUCUUUUGCAUUUGCUGAGGAGUGUUUUACUUCCAAUUAUGUGGUCAGUUUGAGAAUAAGUGAGAUAUGGUGCUGAGAAGAAUGUAUAUUCUGUUGAUUUGGGGUGGAGAGUUCUGUAGAUGUCUAUUAGGUCUGCUUGGUCCAGAGCUGAGUUCAAGUCCUGAAUAUCCUUGUUAAUUUUCUGUCUCAUUGAUGUAUCAAAUAUUGACAGUGGGAUAUUAAAGUCUCCCACUAUUAUUGUGUGGGUGUCUAAAUGUCUUUGUAGGUCUCUAAGAACUUGCUUUAUGAAUCUGGGUGCUCUUGUAUUGAGGGCAUAUAUAUUUAGGAU
rnacentral:lncRNA from 10 species